rnacentral:rRNA from 1 species
AUUGAACGCUGGCGGCAGGCCUAACACAUGCAAGUCGAACGGUAACAGGAAACAGCUUGCUGUUUCGCUGACGAGUGGCGGACGGGUGAGUAAUGUCUGGGAAACUGCCUGGUGGAGAGGGAUAACUACUGGAAACGGUAGCUAAUACCGCAUAACGUCGCAAGACCAAAGAGGGGGACCUUCGGGCCUCUUGCCAUCGGAUGUGCCCAGAUGGGAUUAGCUAGUAGGUGGGGUAACGGCUCACCUAGGCGACGAUCCCUAGCUGGUCUGAGAGGAUGACCAGCCACACUGGAACUGAGACACGGUCCAGACUCCUACGGGAGGCAGCAGUGGGGAAUAUUGCACAAUGGGCGCAAGCCUGAUGCAGCCAUGCCGCGUGUAUGAAGAAGGCCUUCGGGUUGUAAAGUACUUUCAGCGGGGAGGAAGGGAGUAAAGUCAAUACCUUUGCUCAUUGACGUUACCCGCAGAAGAAGCACCGGCUAACUCCGUGCCAGCCGCCGCCGUAA